GUUUGCUAAGAGAAGUAAGUGUGUUUUCUAUAUCAAUGAAAUCAAGUACACGAGUCAUGUGAUUUCUAAGGAAAAGAGAGCUACCAAUCCUCAAAUGAUUCAAGCUAUUUUGAAAUGAAUAUUCGACCUAUUUAAGAGGAAUUAAUUGAUCCAUCAAAUUAAAAAAAAACACAACCAAUAACUUCAGCUUUUCUUCUCAAAUAAAAAAACCAAGAUUUUACAAUGAAAAGACAUCCGAUCUUCCAAAUCAACCACUGUCGAAAAAAGAUGAGAGACAAGGAGGGAUGGGAUAACUUCAAAUAAAUAAUCAAACAAAGCCUCUCUCCACGCAACAAACCGGCCAUCAAUACACCCACAGUGACCGCCGAUCAACAAAACCAGUUGCCACAAUCGAACACAACAACCAUCCACUGCCUGCUGCAACUCCUCCAUCACCAAUCAUUUUCCCACAACCACCAUCAACACAGCGGUGAUCUUCCAGCCCACCUUCUCAAAACCGAUCCCAAUCUUCCCUCUCUUUCAAUCAAACCCAUCCUCUCAUCUACUCACAAAUCAGCCACCAUCACAAUCCUUCUUCACAGAGUCCAAACAAAAAUCAAAAUCAUUCCCAGCCUCUCAACCGUGAGUCACUGCCCGAACCAUCUCCACAACCCAAACUGACCACCACAGCCCACAUCCGCAAUUGUUUUUUAUAUGACCCCACAUCUAGAAGCUGUACCAAAGAUCCAAGGAGAGAGUAGAAGUGUAAAGAAGAGAGAAAGUGACAGUGAAAAAGAGAAAGUGAAGUUUUGAAUUAAAAUUGAUUUAUGAGUGGCUGAGAGAGAGAAGAAAAGCACUGGACUAGUAUUGUUGAUGAAAAAAUUCCAGUAUUGGUGGUGGACUGGAAAAGGAGGCAGUUGGGGAAGGGAGGCUCUUAUUCCUUCCUCGGUGGAUUUCCUUAGAUUUCCAGUGUUAUCAAAUUAUAAACUUAAACUGUAAUUCGUGAAAGAAUUCAGAAAUAAAAGUGAUCGAGGACAGGAGGGUAAAAUUAAUUUUCUCUUGAAAAACACAAAAAACAGCAGGAUUUCAGGGGAAUUUCAAAUCAAUCAAAAGGACUUUAGGGUUCCUCGAACAUAGCCAGCACCAUGAAAUUAAUAUACAUAAUGAAUUGUCAGAUAAUUUCAAUGAACGCAUGGCAACCUCAAUGACAUACCCAAACUGAAGUGGGGCAUCAACAACUACAGUGGCAUGACGAGACACGAAGCAGAAAUAUGUCAAACUUGCAUGAGCAUUGGAGCUGAGAAUUGACGAAACAGAAAUAGAAGCAAUCGCCAUACUCUGUUCAGUAUGCAGAGAUGGGGAAAGAAUGUAAUAGACACUGUACAUAAUAAGAGGUUCCACCACACUUGAUAUGAUGAUGAAAACCUUGCCUAUUAACAAUCUCUUGAUCUUAUUAUUUUCCUCUGGUAAUGAAACCUUAUUAAGACUGGUAGAGUCCUUGCCUUCAUUAUUAAAAUGGAUAGGUGUGGCAAGCGACUCCCUUUCUCAUUUGCCUGGAUGAGUGAUUCCUAGGACAACCAUCACUGCAGGAUCUUACCACACUGCCUGGUACGUUUUUUUUUUUGCGGCACAAACUACACAGCCACCACAAGCAUGGGCCAUCUCAGUUUCCACUCCUCACCAUGUUGCCACAUCCACCGCCACAACCACCACAUCCACCACAACCCCCACAACCACCACUAUUUCCACUCUUCAUUGUGUCACCACACCCACUGUCACCAGAGUUUCCACUCCUCACCAUGUUGCCACAUCCACCGCCACAUCCACCGCCACAUCCACCACAACCACCACUAUUUCCACUCUUCAUUGUGUCACCACACCCACUGUCACCAGAGUUUCCACUCACCAUGUCCCCGCAUCCACUGCCACAACCACCACAACCACCACCACAGUUUCCACUCCUCACCAUGUCCCCGCAUCCACUGCCACAACCGCCACAACCGCCACCACAAUUUCCACUCCUCACUAUGCUUCCUUUAGCCACGUCCACAUUCAGCUCCAUGUUACCUUCUGAAGCAGCAGUCAGGCUGAUUUGCUCAGGUUCCUCAUGAAAGCCUUUGGCCUUUUCCACUAAACUAUCUACCUCCAGAUUUUCUCUGUUAGAAGUGAAGCCAUUAUAUCCUUCCUUCUUCAAAAUAUCAGAAAGUAUGAAGGCUGAUAUGAUUGCAGGUAACACCAACCAUGAUUCCUUUACCU
rnacentral:lncRNA from 1 species